rnacentral:rRNA from 1 species
GCUGGCGGCCGCCUAAAAAUGCAAGUCGCACGGGACUUUCGGGUCCAGUGGCAGACGGCUGAGUAACGCGUGGGUGACGUACCUGUUGGUGGGGAAUAACUGCCCGAAAGGGUGGCUAAUACCGCAUACGUCUGUUGAGUCGUAUUGACAGGCAAAGCAGCAAUGUGCCGAUGGAGCGGCCCGCGUCCGAUUAGCCAGUUGGUGGGGUAACGGCCUACCAAAGCGACGAUCGGUAGCUGGUCUCAGAGGAUGAUCAGCCAGACUGGGACUGAGACACGGCCCAGACUCCUACGGGAGGCAGCAGUUAGGAAUUUUGGGCAAUGGGCGCAAGCCUGACCCAGCAACGCCGCGUGGGUGACGAAGGCCUUCGGGUUGUAAAGCCCUUUUCUCAGGGAAGAUGAUGACGGUACCUGAGGAAGAAGCACCGGCUAACUACGUGCCAGCAGCCGCGGUAAUACGUANGGUGCAAGCGUUGCCCGGAUUUAUUGGGCGUAAAGGGCGCGUA